AAGGCCAAUUACAUUUGUUGUUUUCAAUAGAAUGAUUAUUUGAACAUUUCCUUGAUGAUUUAUUAUUUCAUAUCUAUGUUAGGUUUUUAUAGUCCCCCUCCCACCCUCACCCCCAGAAUUCUGAAGAGUUAGUUGGAAGAAGGAAGAAGGCACCAUUUUAGGAAUAUUUUAUUCCAGUUUAUUGAAUACAGCCUCCUAAAUUGAGGAUUAGCGACAGUAAUAAAGAAAAAAAAAGACCUUUAGAAAAUUAGAACAUUAAGGGUGAAAUCAGUUUCAUCCAGUCCUGGGGAAAAAUUCCUGUUCCUCUGAUCCUGGGUUAGUUAGCCUGCUUUCAAAGUUAUCUACUUCUGGAGCAAGGACUCUUGGAGCCUACCUUGGCCUCUGGCAGUGUCUGGUCAAGAAGAGGAUGUCAACGUGGCAGCCUGUAUGCAUUUGUCUUUUCUAGCUCAAAGCAGAGGCCU
rnacentral:lncRNA from 10 species